UACGUAGGGGGCAAGCGUUAUCCGGAAUUACUGGGUGUAAAGGGAGCGUAGACGGCAAUGUAAGUCUGGAGUGAAAGGCGGGGGCCCAACCCCCGGACUGCUCUGGAAACUAUGUUACUAGAGUGCAGGAGAGGUAAGCGGAAUUCCUGGUGUAGCGGUGAAAUGCGUAGAUAUCAGGAGGAACACCGGUGGCGAAGGCGGCUUACUGGACGAUGACUGACGCUGAGGCUCGAAAGCGUGGGGAGCAAACAGG
rnacentral:rRNA from 1 species